AGCGUUGAAAUACCGGUUCCUGUGUGAUCACCGAAGUUAAGCAAUCUCGAGCCUGGUCAGUACACAGAUGGGUGACCACUUGGGAAUACCAGAUGC